AUUGACAUCACUGUUUGUCCCUUCCCUUCCCAAUACUUCCUCUGGACUCAUAGUCCAACUCUCUCAAACUGUAUCCUUAGCUUACCUGAGUUUCACUGUGGAUGGACUCUGUGAGAGUAGCUAGGAGCCCUGUGCUUGUGCUGUGGACACCACGUUUUCUUCUGGUGAGAAGAGGGUACUGGUCCAUGCCAUUAGCUCUCAAAGUUCAGUCACUUGGCUGUUGGCUGGUUAGGAGGGGAGCCCAGCUCCUGUGAGGGCCAGCAUGGAUUCCAGUUCUCUGGUGGCCCCCACAUGCAUGUUCUUGCUAUUCGGAUCCCUUGGCAGUCUAUGGUAAAUAACGGAGCAAAUUAUACUUGAAGGGGUUGAAUUUGGCUACUUUAAACAUUUCCUCCCAUGUUUAGCA
rnacentral:lncRNA from 1 species